GUAAAUUGAAUAAGUUAGUUAUCAUUAGAGUAGAUAUUUACAGUAUUAUGCACAAGACGACUGUGGUUAGGAGUUAUAUCUGACCAUUGGAUUUUUAACAACAAAUAAGAGUAUUUUCUUAGUAAUUUAAUCUUGAAAUGUUUAUAUAUGUCAGCUAAGUUACAAGAAAAAAAUUAGUUUAUGAACCAGGCUUUUAAAUUCCUAUUGUCUAGUUUGGUUUAGAAGAUAAUGCAUUU